rnacentral:lncRNA from 1 species
GUUUUGUCCUUCGUGAUUGUGUGCCUACUCAGUAAUCGCUGAAUGCCAAAAAGCAUAAAACUGGUUAAGUUUGUGAACUUUCACUACUUUGCUGAAAAAUCGCUGUGAUUGUGCAUUUCAUUUUGCAAAGAUUUAAACUUGUUUGAUUUCUUUAUUUUGUUUAAGCAUCGGACAUCCUCUGCGUAUACGUGAGUAUCGACCUGGAUGUUGUUGCCUAAACGUUCUGCUUUAUUUUCUUUGGUGUUUCGUUUAAGCUUUGGACCUCCUCUGCGUAUACGGAAGUAUCGACCUGGUGGUUAAAGCCUAAACAACUUCAACUUGUUUUAUUUUCUUAUUUUGUUUAAACAUUGGACUUUCUCUGCGUAUACGGAAGUAUCGACCUGAUUGUUAAUGUUUAAACAUUCUGCUUUGUUUUCGCACAUAUCACAGUUCAUGAAAGUUUAAAGGCAUUACUUGAGUUAGUGUAUUGCAUGAUGAGGGGAUAUGCUGAGAUCGUGGGGUCCAUAAGAAUUUAGUGCAUAAUUAAUAUACCUUAACGUAUCGGUAAGCAUUUCGAAAGUUUUUAGAUUGAGCUUAAGUGGACAACAAUAUCGUCAAUCAACGUGAAUUGUUUAGAACUUAAAACGAUUAAAAGCUUAACGGUGCUUGUGAUGUGUCUCAAAUACUGAUAUGAUCCUCUUACACAAACUCACAAAAAUAUGUUUGUACAUAUUUCCUUUCUGCAUUUAAUUUCUGUCUUUACAUUUAUGUUUCUUAUUUUGAAAAAAUCCAAAAAGAUUUUCGACAACUGAUGUUGGAGAGCUGACAUUCAAAAUCUCAAAGGCUAAACAUGAUGAACAGACAGGUUGGUUAAUUGAUUUGAAAUGUUUAAGAUGAUUCAUUAAUUUGAAUCAGAAAUUGGAAUGUGUAAAAUUUGUGAUAAGUUUUAAAAUGUGAUAAUUCUCAAAUGUUUAGUUUCUUAAUCUGUUGAUACGCAAAGCCAGGUGUCGAUCCCAAAAGCACGGAAGCUUGACGAAAGGGGGAGCCUGAAGAAAGAGAGCAACGGAAGCUGAAGACAGAUCCACCGGGAUUCUGUUCGAGCUAGAGUAGUUGAAGACUCUCACUAAAGAUUCCGUCAACAUUCAAGGGGGAGUUUGUUAGUGCAGUUGUCUGUCGACUACAUCUUCGUUCGAGUUUUAGAGAGAGAGAAAGUCAAGUCGCUAUGAGUUUCACUAUGAGAUUGACUACGGCAAUAUCCAAGGGGGAGAUUGUUAGUACACGAAUGUCUAUCGCCUUCGUCAAUCUAAGCAGUAGCAAGAAACCGAAGAAACCAAGUCUUUGUAAAUGUCAUAUCUAGUUAAAAGGCAAGGUGGCAAACUUGUAAUUAAUGAGAACUUUCAUUAAAAUGCCUUGACCUAUAAAUAGGAGAUUAUGUCAUGACUUUAGAAGUUAGUAGUAAGGGUUUUGGAAGACUUUUCUCCAUUUUAGAGAUCUUGGUGAUUCAAGUCUAGAGAGAGAAAGUGGUUGUAAUCGUGAAUCUUGUAC